UUUUUCCUAGCCUAGCCUCCCUUAUAAACCACCUGUACCCAAGCCCUUAUUUUAAGCUGUGCUUUCAAGGGAACUCAAACCAAGACAUUAAGCUAGAGCCAUAUUGGAUUGUGAAAGGAACUCAGUUGACCUGGCCUAUUGCAGAUUUAUUCUGAGAAUUUCAAUUCAGUCUUUGCUGCUGUUUGGAAAUCUUUCAUGAAUCUUUUAAUAACUUCCUUACAUACAUCUUGUUCCAUUAAAGCCCCAAAUUUGGCUUUGUCAGCUCUCUUUCUUCAUAAUCUUUAGGAUUUGUUCAUGUGUGGAUGUGAUGGAACUGAAGUCGCUAGGUUCAUGCUACCUGGAACAUGAGACUGACAAAUAGAGGAGCACUGAGUCAAAUGAAUCUCGGAGAAAUGGAGCUGGAAGAAAACUGGAGUAAGCCUGUCCCUGAAAGGGCACUACAUUUGGAUAUCCAGCAGUGGGACUCAAUAUUUUUUCUUGUUGUUUAAUCUCAUUUCUGUUACUUGCAGCCAAAGGCUCUUAAUGAGAAAAUGGCUCUACCUAGUUUUCUGAAAUUGCCUCAGUCUCUCCACUCUUCCCUAUUACAAAGGUCAUCUCUUUAAUUCACAUCCAAUAACUGAUAGUCUCUUGACUAAUCUACAUCCUCUCAUUCUCUCCUAAUUCACCUUUCAUACUGUUGCCAGGUGACUUUUCCUAAAAGACAACUUUCAUGAUGUCACUCUACUUCAUAAAUUCUUAUAAUGGUUUCUUUUUGCUUUUAGUCCAAACUCCUCAGGUUCGUUUUCAAGGCUUUUCAUAAUUGAAUUUCUUUUAUAUACCUAAGAUGAUUUCUCUGUGUUCCCAAAUGUACAAUUGACAGUCCUUCCUCCUGAUGUUCUCUCCAGUAGGAAAUGUUUGCUCUAUGUAAAUUCAGUAUAGCUUUUAGUCUCUAUUCAAGUUCUACCUUCUUCAUAAACUUCUCCUGAAUAGAAUCAGCCUAUAACCAUUUAAACUGUCUUUAUUAGGUGCACACUAUGUGCCAGGUACUCAACAAGGCAGUGGAACUAUGAAGACAGAUAAUCACAGUCCCUCUUGCCUCUGGGAGCAGGCAGUUGAAUGCAAUGCUUUUUAAAGUUUUAAGUAACGUGGUCAUGCAAAAUCUUAUAGAUAUACAUUUGAAUGUACAGAGUUUAAUUACCAAGCUAGUGAG
rnacentral:lncRNA from 10 species